rnacentral:rRNA from 1 species
UGGGGGAUAUUGCACAAUGGGCGAAAGCCUGAUGCAGCGACGCCGCGUGGGGGAUGAAGGCUUUCGGGUUGUAAACCUCUUUCGCUAUCGAACAAGGUCCGCUUAGGGUGGGUUGAGGGUAGGUGGAGAAGAAGCGCCGGCUAACUACGUGCCAGCAGCCGCGGUAAUACGUAGGGCGCGAGCGUUGUCCGGAAUUAUUGGGCGUAAAGGGCUUGUAGGCGGCUUGUUGCGCCUGCUGUGAAAACGCGGGGCUUAACUUCGCGCGUGCAGUGGGUACGGGCAGGCUUGAGUGUGGUAGGGGUGACUGGAAUUCCAGGUGUAGCGGUGGAAUGCGUAGAUAUCUGGAGGAACACCGAUGGCGAAGGCAGGUCACUGGGCCAUUACUGACGCUGAGGAGCGAAAGCAUGGGUAGCGAACAGG